rnacentral:rRNA from 2 species
AGCAGCCGCGGUAAUUCCAGCUCCAAUAGCGUAUAUUAAAGUUGUUGCAGUUAAAAAGCUCGUAGUUGAAUUUCGGGAUUGACACAUCGGUCGUGCCUUAAGGGGUAUGAACUGGUGUAGUCAAUUUCUCACCUUCUGGAGAACCGCGAUGCCCUUAAUUGGGUGUCACGGGGAACCAGGACCUUUACUUUGAAAAAAUUAGAGUGUUUAAAGCAGGCAUUUUGCUUGAAUACAUUAGCAUGGAAUAAUAAAAUAGGACGGCAUGAUUCUAUUUUGUUGGUUUCUAGGAUCACCGUAAUGAUUAAUAGGGAUAGUUGGGGGCAUUAGUAUUCAAUUGUCAGAGGUGAAAUUCUUGGAUUUAUUGAAGACUAACUACUGCGAAAGCAUUUGCCAAGGAUGUUUUCAUUAAUCAAGAACGAAAGUUAGGGGAUCGAAGACGAUCAGAUACCGUCGUAGUCUUAACCAUAAACUAUGCCGACUAGGAAUCAGACGAUGUUAAUUUUUUAAUGACUCG